CUGGAGAUGAGACGUGACAGAAGAGAAACAACAACAGUAACUGUUUCAUCUUGUUCUGAUAAAGACGGAAACCCCUGAGCUGGUUCAUCUGUUUUGCAG